CUAACCGGUUGGAAAGGUGCAACUGCACCGCAGAUGGAGGAGCCCGCGGCGCAUUAGCUAGUUGGUGGGGUAACGGCCUACCAAGGCGACGAUGCGUAGCCGACCUGAGAGGUGGACGGCCACACUGGGACUGAGACACGGCCCAGACUCCUACGGGAGGCAGCAGUAGGGAAUCUUCCGCAAUGGGCGCAAGCCUGACGGAGCAACGCCGCGUGAGCGAAGAAGGCCUUCGGGUUGUAAAGCUCAGUCACUCCGGGAAGAGCGGACGAGGGAGUGGAAAGCCCUCGCCGAGUACGGUACCGAGAGAGGAAGCCCCGGCUAACUACGUG
rnacentral:rRNA from 1 species